GAUGAACGCUGACAGAAUGCUUAACACAUGCAAGUCUUUGGCGAAGCUGUGCUUGCACAGCCUAGCCAAGGCGGACGGGUGAGUAACGCGUAAGGAACUUGCCCUGCAGUCAGGGAUAACAGACGGAAACGACUGAUAAGACCUGGUAAAGUCAGGCGGACUCAUGUCCAGCCUGAUGAAAAGAGAUGCUGCAGGAGAGCCUUGCGUCCUAUUAGCUUGUUGGUGGGGUAACGGCCCACCAAGGCGAUGAUAGGUAGCCGGCCUGAGAGGGUGGACGGCCACAAGGGGACUGAGAUACGGCCCUUACUCCUACGGGAGGCAGCAGUGGGGAAUAUUGGACAAUGGGGGCAACCCUGAUCCAGCAAUUCUGUGUGCACGAUGAAGGUUUUCGGAUUGUAAAGUGCUUUCAGCAGGGAAGAAAAAAAGAC
rnacentral:rRNA from 1 species